GGACCAGUAGCCUAGUCUGGAUGCGUUCAGAGCCAGAAAGGGCGUCGGCCUUCUAAGCCGAAGAUCGGGGGUUCGAAUCCCUCCUGGUCCA
rnacentral:tRNA from 1 species